CCUUGGAUUGUUUAUUUUCCUCUAUUUUAUCCAGAUGGUAUUUAAAGAAUUUAAAGAGUCACUGAAAACAAAAACUAGAGGAAAAUCCAUGUGUUGAAUUAGAUGGAACAAAAAAUUGGGGUAGCUUAGGCUAACAAUUCAAACCAACUAGGUAAAAGAUGUUCAAACCUGAACAUCCACCUGCCUGCAACCGUCAUAUGUACUCUACGUACAAUGAAGAAUUAUACUUUAUAUAUUUAGUCUAAUAAUUUCAAUAUUUCCCCUUUCUCAUUAUUUCAGUUCUAAUUGAAACUUCUGGAAGAUCUUUUUGGAUGCUUCUUACAGGGAAAAUAGCUUUAGCUGUUCUAGUUUUUUCCAUCUUCAUCAUCUAAAGAUCACUUCUAAAAGGCCACCUCCAGCUGUUGAAGGAGCAAACGAAGAAUAUCAAUGCGGGAAGAUACACCAUUCUCAGCAGCCUUCUCCGAGUUCUUUGGCUCCACAGGGUGGUUGAGACUUGGAAGUCCACUGAUCAGCCUCAAUGUUAAGGAUCGGAUUCUUAACCACAAGGUCUCCUCCUCCAAGGAAAGUUUCUUAUGUUCUUCAGAAACAUCCCUUAAACAGAAACAUCCCCAAACCAUCUAUUUUAUUAAAUCUGUUGCCUUCAAAUCAAUCAAAGUUCGCUUUUACCAGUUAAGAUGGCUUCGAAUGGCUCUAGCUUUCAUUUACUAGCAAAAAUGACCUUAGACAAGCCAAAAUCUUCUGAAUCCCCAUUUCACCAUCAAUAAAAUGGGAAAAUAGAAAAA